rnacentral:rRNA from 1 species
GCCUGGAGAUGAGCUUGCGGCUGAUUAGCUAGUUGGUAGGGUAAGAGCCUACCAAGGCGACGAUCAGUAGCUGGUCUGAGAGGAUGAGCAGCCACACUGGGACUGAGACACGGCCCAGACUCCUACGGGAGGCAGCAGUGGGGAAUUUUCCGCAAUGGGCGAAAGCCUGACGGAGCAAGACCGCGUGGGGGAGGAAGGUUCUUGGAUUGUCAACCCCUUUUCUCAGGGAAGAAGUUCUGACGGUACCUGAGGAAUCAGCAUCGGCUAACUCCGUGCCAGCAGCCGCGGUAAUACGGAGGAUGCAAGCGUUAUCCGGAAUGAUUGGGCGUAAAGAGUCCGUAGGUGGCGAGUCAAGUCGAUUGUCAAAGAGCGAGGCUUAACUUCGUGAAGGCAGUGGAAACUGACUAGCUAGAGAGCAGUAGGGGCAGAAGGAAUUCCUGGUGUAGCGGUGAAAUGCGUAGAGAUCAGGAAGAACACC